UACGAGGGGGCAAGCGUUGUUCGGAAUUAUUGGGCGUAAAGGGCGCGUAGGCGGUGCGGUAAGUCACCUGUGAAAACUCUGGGCUCAACUCAGAGCCUGCAGGCGAAACUGCCGUGCUGGAGUGUGGGAGAGGUGCGUGGAAUUCCCGGUGUAGCGGAUGAAAUGCGUAGAUAUCGGGAGGAACACCUGUGGCGAAAGCGGCGCACUGGACCGACAACUGACGCUGAGGCGCGAAAGCUAGGGGAGCAAACAGG
rnacentral:rRNA from 1 species